AAUGAGCCUGCGAGUUGUGGUGUCUGGCAAGGUUAAGCAAACGCGAAGCCGUAGCGAAAGCGAGUCUGAAUAGGGCGCUUAGUCAGAUGCUGCAGACCCGAAACGAAGUGAUCUAUCCAUGAGCAAGUUGAAGCUAGUGUAAGAACUAGUGGAGGACUGAACCCAUAGGCGUUGAAAAGCCCCGGGAUGACUUGUGGAUAGGGGUGAAAGGCCAAUCAAACUUCGUGAUAGCUGGUUCUCUCCGAAAUAUAUUUAGGUAUAGCGUUGUGUCGUAAUAUAAGGGGGUAGAGCACUGAAUGGGCUAGGGCAUACACCAAUGUACCAAACCCUAUCAAACUCCGAAUACCUUAUAUGUAAUCACAGCAGUCAGGCGGCGAGUGAUAAAAUCCGUCGUCAAGAGGGAAACAACCCAGACUACCAGCUAAGGUCCCUAAAUCUUACUUAAGUGGAAAACGAUGUGAAGUUACUUAAACAACCAGGAGGUUGGCUUAGAAGCAGCCAUCCUUUAAAGAAAGCGUAAUAGCUCACUGGUCUAGUGAUUUUGCGCGGAAAAUAUAACGGGGCUAAAGUAAGUACCGAAGCUGUAGACUUAGUUUACUAAGUGGUAGGAGAGCGUUCUAUUUGCGUCGAAGGUAUACCGGUAAGGAGUGCUGGAGCGAAUAGAAGUGAGCAUGCAGGCAUGAGUAGCGAUAAUUAAUGUGAGAAUCAUUAACGCCGUAAACCCAAGGUUUCCUACGCGAUGCUCGUCAUCGUAGGGUUAGUCGGGUCCUAAGUCGAGUCCGAAAGGGGUAGACGAUGGCAAAUUGGUUAAUAUUCCAAUACCAACAUUAGUGUGCGAUGGAAGGACGCUUAGGGCUAAGGGGGCUAGCGGAUGGAAGUGCUAGUCUAAGGUCGUAGGAGGUUGUACAGGCAAAUCCGUAUAACAAUACUCCGAGAACUGAAAGGCUUUUUGAAGUCUUCGGAUGGAUAGAAGAACCCCUGAUGCCGUCGAGCCAAGAAAAGUUUCUAAGUUUAGCUAAUGUUGCCCGUACCGUAAACCGACACAGGUGGGUGGGAUGAGUAUUCUAAGGCGCGUGGAAGAACUCUCUUUAAGGAACUCUGCAAAAUAGCACCGUAUCUUCGGUAUAAGGUGUGGUUAGCUUCGUACUAGGAUUUACUCCGAAAGC
rnacentral:rRNA from 1 species